CCGGAUUCCAACUUUGACUGAGUCAACAGCAGACGCAGGCUCAGCGCAGCCCCGCGCGGCCGGAAGAACCACGGCUGGGACUCCCAAGUUGUUGAGAAGGUUCAAUUGCGCCUGCUUGUUCCAUAAGGACCCCCCGGCCGGUCGGGCUUUGUUGCCUGCAGGGUCUCAGAGUCCAGUGAGGGAGAUGAGCUCGCACUCAGACCCGCAGGGCUUCCUGGAGAGCCCCGCUGAAAACCUGAAGUCGCUGCUCGUUCACGCAGCCCCGGGUCCUCAGAAGGCUGGAGAGGAAACCCACAGCUGCGGCGAUCUCCGGGAGCAUGUCUGUUCUCUUCCCGGUCCAGCUGACCUGGCUCAUGUCGUGUGCAACUCGACAGUUUAAAGAACACCUCCAACAAGAAGCCUUCGUUGACACCACCUCUCCCAGGAGGUCGCCUUUUCUGACUCCCCCACUUUCAACCACACCCUGUCAGAACUCACCCAUUUUACAGCUUUGACGCGUCUCCUAACUAGUCGGAAUGGGUUCCUCUUAGCUCUCCGGAAAUGGAGACUAAGUAUUCUAUUUACUUCCACGAUAACACCAACUUCCCCAACAAGUUAUGCUCUUCUACAGCAAUGCUUUUUCUCUUGCCUAGAACCAUCCGAGUCUUACCUACUGCUGGGUGGGUAGGGGUGGAGGGAGUGUUGCAAAACUUUUCAGUCUUCCUCUUCCACACGGGGAACCAGGCUCAGAACGUGGCAGCAUCACAGGCACUCCUAGAGGUCUGUUGAAUGGGGAUAACUCCUAAUCAAUAUCCCAGGGUCCAGCAUACAUAGGUGCCUCAUACAUAUAUGUUAAAUGAAUCAAACCCAGUGGCCUCUGUAAAUUCUUAUUUUCCUUGACCACCUUUUCCUGGAGGCAGUCUCCCCUCUUUUUCCUUGACCCCAGGUUUCUCUGCCUCCUUCCCCGGCUGUGUCUUCCCUGGAUCUCUUCCUGUCCCCGUUCCCUCACUAUGUCCACUCACUCUUCCUUUUCUCUCCACUUUCUUUCCUUAGAGAGAUUCUAUUCAUGUUGUCCAUUUUGAUGUUUACUUUUUUACUACUGACUUUCUUAUCUGCGUAGUCUGUCCACAUCUCUCAUCCCGCCCCUCCUACCUGCUCUGUCUCUCCCCUCGGAUGUCCAGCCACCACAUCAGUGUCAGUCUAAGCCCACUGUCUUCUCCAAGGCCAGCUUCCUUCCUGAUCUCCAUUUCUAUCAGAUACCAUCGGUUCCCAGUCACUCUACCCAGAAAACUCAGACUCACUUUUGGCUUCACCUUGUACUUUGCUCCUUAGAUCCAGUCUCAAGACCUGUUACUUCUUCAUAUCGAGAUGGUUGCAGUAGACUCUGUCAAAUCCAAUCCCCAAAUCACCCUUCCCACUGUUAGCAGACUUACCUUCCUGAAGUUCUGCACUCACUUGCUCUUCUUUUGCUCAGAUCAUUCUGAGACACCCUCCAUUUGUCUACUGCAUUAAGUAUGGACUCCUUUGCCUAAUAGUUAAGACCUUUCAUAAUUUGGCCCCAUCUUUCUUUUUAGGUUUCUGCCACUUUGUGCUCCAAGGUGACUCUCCUCACUGUUCUCUAAGCAUCAGAGCAGCUCUGCAUCCCAGAGCCCUCAACAUUUGCCUAUGAUCCCUAUCCCUGCCCUGUAAUAUGGUCCCCAUUCCAUGUAUGCCUAUAUGUGCCUGGCAUUGCUGCACCAUGGCUCAUGCCAUUAUCUCUUGGAUACCUCACUGCCUCCUUUCCAUCUUUCCCAAUCCCUCACACUCCUGAACGCUUAAGCUUGGUCCUCCACCUUGAAAACCUGUGCUGACCAUUCUCUCACUACAGAAUUAAUAUUAUCCAUACCAUUCAUUUGGCAUUUAUAAUCUGUUGUUUGAUAUUCUUAGUGAUCUUUUUAGAGGUUGACAUCUUGUUUGCAGACUGCUUGAAAACAGGUUACUAUGCUCAUAUGUCCUGCAUUUCCAGGACAGUUCAGGUUUCAAAUAUUCUGCUCCAUUGCUUCAUAUAGCUCAUUAAAAUGCCCUGGAAUUCUAGUAUUUUGGCAUUGAACACAUCUCUUAGAUGGCUUCUUCACUGCCUCCUCCCUGAAGCUGGAUCAGGCCAGAUGAGACCUCUGCUCAUUGAGGGGGAAACAAUUGUUACUGGAAACAGGGCUAGGACAAGAUAACCUAGAGUGCAUCAAACAAAAAGAUCAGGUGUCAGCAAGACCAGAAUUGACCAAGGUCAACCACCAAGGAGGCCAGGGAAACAGGUCAAGGUAUAGGCAGGUGUUCAGGGUGGUUUAGCACCAAAAUCUGAAAAUACUUAACAUCUUCCUGGGUAUGCUGUUGACAGGGGUCUGGUGUUCUGGGCCUUGCUUUAGUCCAUAAUUGAUGGGAAAAAAGUCUUGUGACAGAUCAUCACCUGUUUUUUGCCUUAGGAAAUAGAACUCUAUCUUUAUGUAGGUUCUCGUAUCACUCACCAGGUCACAUAGCUAGUUCUUAAUAGAGCCAGGACUGGCACCAGAUCUGCUGACUUCAAAUAUGCCCUUUUCAUUAGACCAUGGAAUCCCUGUGCUAUUACAAUGGCUGCUGGUCCCACCUCAACCCACAGAGCUGUUCUAGAUGAUGAUGCAAUGAACUGGAGGGAAACAGUCUUCAUUUUGGGACAGUAGCAAGGUCUUAUCCCCCACAUUCCCCCAUUACCUAGGAAGUGUCUUAGUCUCAUCACUGGUGGUUAGUUCCUGCACUUUGUAGAGGGCGAUGAUAAUAAGAACCAGAAAGCACUUCACCUACUUUCUCAUCCUCUCUUCUUUCUACACACAAGCCUAGGGAGAGGGAGUUUAAUGUAUCCAACAUUCAAAGUUUCCAAGUUACUCUACAGUGUAGUUGAACCCAACUCAGGAUUUAGAUUCUCAAUCAGUUUCUUUUAAGGCCAAAUAUUGGGUUGGCCAAAAAGUUCAUUCGGGUUUUUCUGUACCAUCUUAUGGAAAAACCAGAACAAACUUUUUGGCCAACCCAAUACAUUAUAAUAAUCCAAAUUACUUUUGGAAUUUGCUGAAACUGUCCUUAAACUGCUAAGACCAUUGUUCUUAGAAGCUCUAAAGUCCAGAUUUCACUUCUUCUUCUGUUGCCUGCCACCUCCGUUUCCUUGGUAUAGCCAAGGCAUAGUUCAAGCAUCAGGAUAAGGACAGUGUGUCCCUCCCUCCCUCUUCUCCUCUUCUUCCUGCUCCUCUUCCUCCUCACUGAUGUCUUCCCCUCCCCCGAAGGGCCUUGAGUUCAAUUUUGAACAUUAAAUGUCCUAACACUGUGCUGACCUGUGGCUCUACCUACUGCCAAGUGGGCAGGUAGUGGUGGAGGUGGGUGUGGAUGCCAGUUUAUGCCUCAACUGGAUCAGAAACUUCUUCUGUACCAUGUGACCCCUACCCACUGGCUCCCUUGGUCCUGGAUGCCCAUCUCACCCACUUGCACAGCCUACCUGUGUGGCCCCUCUAGAGUGACCCACAACAUCCCAAACUGCCCUCUUCAGACCAAAUCCCCACCAGAACUGGGUCCCUCUCCUCAGGUCUCAUCCCUGGCCUUGUCUGUGGAGUCAUCACACAUGCCUUGCUCUCUACUCCCCAGUCAGGAGCAACCAGAACAUUGUAUGCGACUGUCUUGCUCAGCAUCCUGCUGGGCCUGCAGGGUCUUGGCUUGGUUGUCAAGGCUACCUCCCAGUUUCCUGACCACAUGUUGA